rnacentral:piRNA from 1 species
GCCGACAUUGUCCCUGAUGAACAUAGGC